ACAAAAAGGAUAAGUCCGAGUCAAAACCAAACACACGAAAAUGCUGACAACUGUCUCUCUUGCCUGUAUCGUCGCCUGCGUUUUGGCAGAUUCCACUUAUCCCAAACAUAAUGGAGGGUACUUUCCCAUUAAUGGAGGCGAUUACUACCCAAAGGGAGGCUGUGGUCCAUAUGGAUGUGGGUACAAUGGUUUCCAAGGGGGACUUUUCGGCUCUGGUAAUUUAGGAAGUCUUGGUAUAGGAAAUGGAUUAGUUGGUAAUUUUGGAGGACUUAACACUGGGUUUGGAGGUGUUGGUGGAGGAUCAGGCUGCCGCCUCUGCUGCUGCCGCCUCUGGAUCUGGAGGUUUGAUUGCUCCAUACAACUACUACCAGCCUGGAUACAACUACUACCCAGGACAAAUCUACAACAACAUCCACAGCUCCCAGUACUAUCCCAACUACUACAACCAAUAUUACCAGUCUUUCCCCUACUACAGCAAUCCAUUUUUCGGUGUUGGAGGAGGAUCUGCCGCCGCUUCAGCUGCUGCCGCUGGUAAUGCAGCCGCCGCUUCCUCUGCUGCCGCUAGUGGAUUCAAUGGAUUUAACGGACCCUUUAUUGGGGGUCUUGGACCAAUUGGUGGAUCCGUCAGACCAAGAAAGGUUUACUAAAUGGACCCGAUCUACUCCUGUACUCUUGAAUGUUGUUUGGUUUUGACUUUCGAAUAAAAAUUAG
rnacentral:misc_RNA from 1 species